UACGUAGGGGGCUAGCGUUGUCCGGAUUUAUUGGGCGUAAAAAGCGUGUAGGCGGCCAGGUAGGUCUGCUGUGAAAACUCGAGGCUCAACCUCGAGACGUCGGCGGAAACCAUCUGGCUAGAGUCCGGAAGAGGAGAGUGGAAUUCCUGGUGUAGCGGUGAAAUGCGCAGAUAUCAGGAAGAACACCCGUGGCGAAGGCGGCUCUCUGGGACGGUACUGACGCUGAGACGCGAAAGCGUGGGGAGCGAACAGG
rnacentral:rRNA from 1 species